rnacentral:rRNA from 1 species
AUUGAACGCUGGCGGCGCGCCUAAUACAUGCAAGUCGAGCGAGAAGACGUAGCAAUACGUUUGUAAAGCGGCGAACGGGUGAGGAAUACAUGGGUAACCUACCCUAGAGUGGGGAAUAACUAGCCGAAAGGUUAGCUAAUACCGCGUACGCUCCUUGGACUUCGGUUCAGGGAGGAAAGCGAUGCCGAGGGUAUCGCGCUCUUGGAUGGGCUCAUGUCCUAUCAGCUUGNGGUGAGGUAACGGCUCACCAAGGCUUCGACGGGUAGCUGGUCUGAGAGGACGAUCAGCCACACUGGCACUGCGACACGGGCCAGACUCCUACGGGAGGCAGCAGUAAGGAAUAUUGCGCAA